rnacentral:rRNA from 1 species
AGAGUUUGAUCCUGGCUCAGGAUGAACGCUAGCGGCAGGCUUAACACAUGCAAGUCGAGGGGUAACAGGGGAGCUUGCUUCCGCUGACGACCGGCGCACGGGUGCGUAACGCGUAUACAAUCUGCCUCAUACUGAGGGAUAGCCCAGAGAAAUUUGGAUUAAGACCUCAUAGUAUUGUUUUAUGGCAUCAUGAGAUAAUUAAAGGUUACGGUAUGAGAUGAGUAUGCGUCCUAUUAGCUAGUUGGUAUGGUAACGGCAUACCAAGGCGACGAUAGGUAGGGGUCCUGAGAGGGAGAUCCCCCACACUGGUACUGAGACACGGACCAGACUCCUACGGGAGGCAGCAGUGAGGAAUAUUGGUCAAUGGAGGCAACUCUGAACCAGCCAUGCCGCGUGAAGGAUGACUGCCCUAUGGGUUGUAAACUUCUUUUAUAUAGGAAGAAACAGUUUCUCGUGAGAAACCUUGACGGUACUAUAUGAAUAAGCACCGGCUAACUCCGUGCCAGCAGCCGCGGUAAUAAU